rnacentral:rRNA from 1 species
GCUUUCCUACGGGGCGCAGCAGUGGGGAAUAUUGCACAAUGGGCGAAAGCCUGAUGCAGCAACGCCGCGUGAAGGAAGACGGUUUUCGGAUUGUAAACUUCUGUUCUUAGUGAAGAAUAAUGACGGUAACUAAGGAGCAAGCCACGGCUAACUACGUGACAGCAGCCGCGGUAAUACGUAGGUGGCAAGCGUUGUCCGGAAUUACUGGGGGUAAAGGGAGCGUAGGCGGGAA